UCCGGUUUGUCACCGGCGGUCUCCUUAGAGUUCCCACCAUUACGUGCUGGCAACUAAGGACAAGGGUUGCGCUCGUUGCGGGACUUAACCCAACAUCUCACGACACGAGCUGACGACAGCCGUGCACCACCUGUGUAGGGCCCCGAAGGACACCGUAUCUCUACGGCUUUUCCCUACAUGUCAAACCCAGGUAAGGUUCUUCGCGUUGCUUCGAAUUAAACCACAUGCUCCACCGCUUGUGCGGGCCCCCGUCAAUUCCUUUGAGUUCCAGCCUUGCGGCCGUACUCCCCAGGCGGGGCACUUAUCGCGUUAGCUGCGACACCGAAGGGGUCGAUCCCACCGGCAUCUAGUGCCCAUCGUUUACAGCGUGGACUAC
rnacentral:misc_RNA from 1 species